CGAGCCAGCCAGACAGUCGCUGGGCUCUUCUCUCUGUUUUUUCACUUAUGUACUUAUAGUGAUGAACAUGGGGGUAGGGCCGAGAGGAAAGUCCGGGCUCCAUAGGGUAGAACGCCAGGUAACGCCUGGGGGGCGCAAGCCUACGGAAAGUGCAGCAGAGAGUAGACCGCCGAUGGCUAGCAAUAGCACAGGUAAGGGUGAAAGGGUGCGGUAAGAGCGCACCGCGCGACUGGUAACAGCUCGUGGCAUGGUAAACCCCGUUCGGAGCAAGACCAAAUAGGCCCACUAUACCUUAGGGUAAUAGGCGUGUACCCGCGCUGUGGGCGGGUAGGUUGCUAAAGCAUUGUGGCGACAUAAUGCGUAGAUGAAUGACUGUCCAACGACAGAACCCGGCUUAUCGGCUGGCUCAAUCU
rnacentral:RNase_P_RNA from 1 species